rnacentral:rRNA from 1 species
UACGUAGGGGACAAGCGUUAUCCGGAUUUACUGGGCGUAAAGCGCCCGUAGGCGGCUUUUUAAGUUGGACGUGAAAGCUCCCGGCUUAACUGGGAGAGGCCGUUCAAAACUGAGAGGCUAGAGUGAGGCAGAGGAGCGCGGAAUUCCCGGUGUAGUGGUGGAAUGCGUAGAUAUCGGGAGGAACACCAGUGGCGAAAGCGGCGCUCUGGGCCUAAACUGACGCUGAGGGGCGAAAGCCAGGGGAGCAAACGGG